UACGUAGGGUGCGAGCGUUAAUCGGAAUUACUGGGCGUAAAGCGUGCGCAGGUGGUUCGUUGCGUCGUGCGUGAAAGACCCCGGCUCAACUGGGGAGGGUCGUGCGAUACGGGCGAACUGGAGGCCAGUAGGGGGAUGCGGAAUUCCGGGUGUAGUGGUGGAAUGCGUAGAGAUCCGGAGGAACACCAGCGGCGAAGGCGGCAUCCUGGACUGGUCCUGACACUCAGGAGCGAAAGCGUGGGGAGCGAUCCGG
rnacentral:rRNA from 1 species